GCAAACUCACGAUUAUUUCGGUAUUCGCCGCCGUCGUCGUCGUGCAGCUGCGAUCCGUCCGUUCGUCGCGAGUGAUAUCGAGAGGAUUUCGAGGCCAAACAUAAAUACAGGGAGAGAAACAGAGAGAGAAAGAGGGAGAGGAUGAGCUGAAGAAUGGCCACGGAAUACUGUCUGUUCAUUCAAGUAAACUUUCUAUCCAGCCUGAAUAAUUCGUGGGUGCAAGGUCGGAAAGAACGGCGACGUACAGUCGCUUGUUCCUCCUCUGAAAGUCAUCUUCGUCAUGACGCCGGCACCGACGACGCCGAUGCCGCCGCCACCGACGACGACGACAACGAAGACGACGACAACGACGACGCCGACGUCCAAAAAUAGGGACGACAUUAGCGCGUAGACUCGUUUCGCACGGCUCACCGGACCGCGUCGACUUCGCGGAUGCAACGUCUUCGGCUGCCAGUAAUUUUAGACGCCAGAGUCAGAUCGCCGCGAUCAAGUUCUUCAUCUCGGAAAAUCGCCCAGUAAAAGUGACAUCGUAAGUUUAUCGAACGCGCGAGAUAUGUAGCCCGAACGCGUCCCGCAAAACUUUUCGCCGGGGAAAAAUGGAUUCCGAAUUCGCGUCGAGGAAUCUGUCGUUGACAGACGCGUCAGCAGCUGAUGCUGCGGGAAAAGUUGGACGUUCAACUUGCGCGAGGAUUUACGAGCUUCCCCGCAGACUGUUAGGCACAGGACAAAUGUAAUACGCUGGCACACAAGCUAGUUACACCCACACAUAUAUACAAGAGCAGAAACAUCAAGAGAUAUAACUUUAAAUGAAAAAUUACUGCUAAACUUUGUUGUGUUGCUUCGCAUGUGGCGAAUGUUGGACUUAUGCCACUUGGAAGAAGGAUUCGCAACACUUCUCGCUCGGUGAUGCUGUUUGCCGAAAUGUAUUUCGGUAUCACAUCUUCAACAACAUUCUUGGCGAAAUUGCAGCGUCUAUAAUAUAUGCAGAGAAAGAGAGAGAGGGGGGGAGGGAGAAAGACAGAGAUCGCGAUCGCGAUAAUACUACAAAUAAUAAGAUCAAGUUCGCGCUGAUUCGAAGUUUGUCUUUCAUUCACGAGAAUUCAUGAAUUUGAUUUUUACGCGAUGUCUCGCAAUGUUUCGUUAAAAGGACAAAGCUGGAAAAGAAAUCGCGUUAUAACGCGAAAUCACCAACGAUUACAAGAUAAUUACCCAGCAACGUAAUCGCGACAACAACAUAUAAAGUAUAAAAAAAUUAAAAUUAAUCAUCACGUUGCGCGAUACCAAAUCGCAAAAGCUCUGGGCGUUUGCCAGCGACCAUUAUCGUCGCGCAUAUCUUUCUAUAAAUAAUGCGGCGAUCUACGAUCAUAUAACUCAACUCCCUAGUUUACGACAAUGUCGUUAUUAUUGUUAACGAUCGUUCGAUCGAGUUGCCAUCAUUGUGGACACUGCUCGUUGCAGAUAACGAUCGUAUUAAUGAUGUAAUCUGGCAUUUCAGGAAUUAAUGUGACGAUACAAUUUUGUUUUGCACGAGUUGACGUAAGGAAGAAUUACCGGAAUUUAAAGAUAUCUAUAAUCCUGCCAAUGACAAUUGCCAAGUAUAUCCUACCCCCGAAAUAUCAUAGUAUUCCAUUUCGUCAGAUUUAAAAUCCAGUCGAUAGGAGAUGAGAAUUAAGACAAUGAUGAUAAAUCGAUUGAUAUUUUGAACUCUGCUGUA
rnacentral:misc_RNA from 1 species